CUGACUAUGCAGUCGAGCGGGGGAAGGUAGCUUGCUACUGGACCUAGCGGCGGACGGGUGAGUAAUGCUUAGGAAUCUGCCUAUUAGUGGGGGACAACAUCUCGAAAGGGAUGCUAAUACCGUAUACGUCCUACGGGAGAAAGCAGGGGAUCUUCGGACCUUGCGCUAAUAGAUGAGCCUAAGUCGGAUUAGCUAGUUGGUGGGGUAAAGGCCUACCAAGGCGACGAUCUGUAGCGGGUCUGAGAGGAUGAUCCGCCACACUGGGACUGAGACACGGCCCAGACUCCUACGGGAGGCAGCAGUGGGGAAUAUUGGACAAUGGGGGGAACCCUGAUCCAGCCAUGCCGCGUGUGUGAAGAAGGCCUUAUGGUUGUAAAGCACUUUAAGCGAGGAGGAGGCUACUUUAGUUAAUACCUAGAGAUAGUGGACGUUACUCGCAGAAUAAGCACCGGCUAACUCUGUGCCAGCAGCCGCGGUAAUACAGAGGGUGCGAGCGUUAAUCGGAUUUACUGGGCGUAAAGCGUGCGUAGGCGGCUUAUUAAGUCGGAUGUGAAAUCCCCGAGCUUAACUUGGGAAUUGCAUUCGAUACUGGUGAGCUAGAGUAUGGGAGAGGAUGGUAGAAUUCCAGGUGUAGCGGUGAAAUGCGUAGAAGAUCUGGAGGAAUACCGAUGGCGAAGGCAGCCAUCUGGCCUAAUACUGACGCUGAGGUACGAAAGCAUGGGGAGCAAACAGGAUUAGAUACCCUGGUAGUCCAUGCCGUAAACGAUGUCUACUAGCCGUUGGGGCCUUUGAGGCUUUAGUGGCGCAGCUAACGCGAUAAGUAGACCGCCUGGGGAGUACGGUCGCAAGACUAAAACUCAAAUGAAUUGACGGGGGCCCGCACAAGCGGUGGAGCAUGUGGUUUAAUUCGAUGCAACGCGAAGAACCUUACCUGGCCUUGNNUACUAGAACUUUCCGGAGAUGGAUUGGUNCUUCGGAAUCUA
rnacentral:rRNA from 1 species